rnacentral:snRNA from 1 species
AGCUCGAGUUUCUCUUCAUUGUCGCAUAAAUCUUUCGCCUUUUUACUAAAGAUUUCCGUGGAGGGGAACUUUUGCGAGUGAUCUGUAUUUCGAUUCCCGGCCAACGGCAU